CCUACGGGUGGCAGCAGUGAGGAAUAUUGGUCAAUGGGCGCGAGCCUGAACCAGCCAAGUAGCGUGAAGGAUGACUGCCCUACGGGUUGUAAACUUCUUUUAUCAGGGAAUAAAGUGAGGCACGUGUGCCUGUUUGUAUGUACUUUAUGAAUAAGGAUCGGCUAACUCCGUGCCAGCAGCCGCGGUAAUUCGGGGGAUCCGAGCGUUAGCCGGGUUUAUUGGGUUUAAAGGGGGCGCAGGCGGAAUUUCAAGUCAGCGGUAAAAUUUCGGGGCUCAAACCCGUCGGGCCGUUGAAACUGGCGUUCUUGAGUGAGCGAGAAGUAUGCGGAAUGCGUGGUGUAGCGGUGAAAGGCAUAGAUAUCACGCAGAACUCCGAUUGCGAAGGCAGCAUACCGGCGCUCAACUGACGCUCAUGCACGAAAGCGUGGGUAUCGAACAGGAUUAGAUACCCCUGUAGUC
rnacentral:rRNA from 1 species